rnacentral:lncRNA from 1 species
GUCCAGGUACAAUAUUAAUAAGACGCUGUGAAAUUUUCUCAUUAUUCUACGAGACUCAGAUAAGAGAAGUUACAGCACUUAUCGUUCAUCAAAAUGAAGGCGCUACUUUCUGUCACUCUCCUUGGCAUUCUCGCCUUCUCAGCUGAAGGACUCCAGUGUCUGAACUGCACUGAUUCAACGUGUUCAACUACAGAAUCUGUCACAUGUUCCACUGAGACGAUGUGUAUCACAGCUUCUAUUCUCGAUAUCUCAGCAUUAGAUUCUUCUUCAGAACUCAGGCUCUUCAAAGGCUGUGCAUCUUCCUCUCUGUGUUCAUCCACGGGCUCAAAGACAUUCUCAGUGAGUCUGGGUCACAAUAGGAGACUUACAUCUGCUGAAUGCUGUGACAUGGACAACUGUAACUCCCAGACCUUACCCAGUCCUACCUCUCCUCAGAGUGAAAAUGGUCUAAGAUGUUUCUUUUGUUAUGCUGGUCGGUGUGACGUUAGCAUUGACUGUCAAGGAGAGGAGAACAGGUGUUUUCAAGGAAAUGAUAUGGUGGGUAACCCAAUUCGCGGCUGUGCAUCUGCCAAUGUGUGCCAACCUGCACGAAUCAAUGGAAAGCUGCCAUUUUUUGAAGAUCUUGGUGAACUUCAGGGUGGAACCACAUGCUGUGAUACCAAUGAUUGUAACGAUGGAACACCACAAGCUGAAGGACUCCAGUGUCUGAGCUGCACUGAUUCAACGUGUUCAACUGUAGAAUCUGUCACAUGUUCCACUGAGACAAUGUGUAUCACAGCUUCUUCUAUUUUUGAGAACAGAACAGUUCCUUCUACAGAACUCAGUUUCUUCAAAGGCUGUGCAUCUUCCUCUCUGUGUUCAUCCACGGGCCCAAAGACAUUCUCAGUGGAUCUGGGUCUCUCUGGUAGAUUUAUAUCUGCUGAAUGCUGUGACACACACAACUGUAACUCUCAGACCUUACCCAGUCCUACUCCUCCUCAGUCUACUAAUGGUCUGCAGUGUUUCUUUUGUGGUUUUGGUCAGUGUCACAUUAUCGUUGACUGUCAAGGCGAGGAGGACAGGUGUAUUCAAGGAAAUGGUAUAUCGGGUAACCCAAUUCGCGGCUGUGCGUCUGCCAAUGUGUGCCAACCUGCACAAAUCGAUAGAGGGCUGCCAUUUUUUGAACAUCUUGCUGAGCUUACAUGUGGAACCACAUGCUGUGAUACUGAUCUGUGUAACAAUGGGACAACACAAGGACUCCAGUGUCUGAGCUGCACUGAUUCAACGUGUUCAACUGUAGAAUCUGUCACAUGUUCCACUGAGACAAUGUGUAUCACAGCUUCUUCUAUUUUUGAGAACAGAACAGUUCCUUCUUCAGAACUCAGUUUCUUCAAAGGCUGUGCAUCUUCCUCUCUGUGUUCAUCCACGGGCCCAAAGACAUUCUCAGUGGAUCUGGGUCGCUAUGCUAGAUUUACAUCUGCUGAAUGCUGUGACACACACAACUGUAACUUUCAGACCUUACCCAGUCCUACUCCUCCUCAGUCUGAUAAUGGUCUGCGGUGCUUCUUGUGUGAUUCUGGUUCAUGUAGUUUCAUUGUUACCUGUCAAGGAGAGGAGGACAGGUGUUUUCAAGGAACAGAUAUGAUGGGUAACCCACGUCGCGGCUGUGCGACUGCCAAUGUGUGCCAACCUGCACGAAUCGAUGGAAAGCUCCCAUUUUUUGAUGAUCUUGGUGAACUUCAGGGUGGAACCACAUGCUGUGAUACUGAUCUGUGUAACGAUGGAACACCACAAGGACUCCACUGUCUGAGCUGCACUGAUUCAACGUGUUCAACUACAGAAUCUGUCACAUGUUCCACUGAGACAAUGUGUAUCACAGCUUCUAUUAUCGAGACCAGACCAGUUCCUUCUUCAGAACUCAGUUUCUUCAAAGGCUGUGCAUCUUCCUCUCUGUGUUCAUCCACGGGCCCAAAGACAUUCUCAGUGGAUCUGGGUCUCUCUGGUAGAUUUAUAUCUGCUGAAUGCUGUGACACACACAACUGUAACUCUCAGACCUUACCCAGGCCUACUCCUCCUCAGUCUGCUAAUGGUCUGCGAUGCUUCGUGUGUGCUUAUGGUCAAUGUGGUUUAAUUGAUAACUGUCAAGUAGGGGAGGACAGGUGUAUUCGGGGAACAGAUAUGAUGGGUAACCCAAUUGGCGGCUGUGCGUCUGCCAGCGUGUGCCAAGCUGCAUCAACCAAUGGAGAGCUAUUUGGUGAACUUACAAGUGGAACCACAUGUUGUGAUACUAGUCUGUGCAACAACUGAAGUAUCGUUUAACAACUGCAUCAACAAAAUCUCCAAUAUUAUUCUCAAAGAUAAUCAAUCAUCUAUUUUAUUUCAGCUUUUGUAAUCAGGGGUUGUGAGCUCUCCAAAAAUAAAUAACUGGCUUUGAUGUGUUAUGAAAAGGCA